rnacentral:rRNA from 1 species
AACGCUAGCUACAGGCUUAACACAUGCAAGUCGAGGGGAAACGAUAUUGGAAGCUUGCUUCCGAUAGGCGUCGACCGGCGCACGGGUGAGUAACGCGUAUCCAACCUGCCCAUCACUUGGGGAUAACCUUGCGAAAGUAAGACUAAUACCCAAUGACGUCUCUAGAAGGCAUCUGAAAGGGAUUAAAGAUUCAUCGGUGAUGGAUGGGGAUGCGUCUGAUUAGCUUGUUGGCGGGGUAACGGCCCACCAAGGCAACGAUCAGUAGGGGUUCUGAGAGGAAGGUCCCCCACAUUGGAACUGAGACACGGUCCAAACUCCUACGGGAGGCAGCAGUGAGGAAUAUUGGUCAAUGGGCGAGAGCCUGAACCAGCCAAGUAGCGUGCAGGAUGACGGCCCUAUGGGUUGUAAACUGCUUUUAUAAGGGAAUAAAGUGAGCCUCGUGAGGCUUUUUGCAUGUACCUUAUGAAUAAGGACCGGCUAAUUCCGUGCCAGCAGCCGCGGUAAUACGGAAGGUCCGGGCGUUAUCCGGAUUUAUUGGGUUUAAAGGGAGCGUAGGCCGGAGAUUAAGCGUGUUGUGAAAUGUAGAUGCUCAACAUCUGCACUGCAGCGCGAACUGGUUUCCUUGAGUACGCACAAAGUGGGCGGAAUUCGUGGUGUAGCGGUGAAAUGCUUAGAUAUCACGAAGAACUCCGAUUG